UUUAAAAAGCCACCGAUGCCUAAAGGGUAGUCAACGCUAGUCCAAAAUUUUUCACGCUCUCCCUCUCAAACUCUCGCCCUAACUUCCAUCUCCCUCUCAAUUUUUUCAAUCCCUCUCAAACUCUCGCCCUAACUCCUCUCCCUCUCAAACUCUCUAUUUCUUCUCUCUCCUCCAUCACUGCUUCUUUCUCUCUCAGAUGUUCCGACCAUGGCCGGUGCUUUCCUCAGGGCUAAAGCCCAGCCACCCCUGCCCAUCCCUCAGCCGCGGCGAGCUUCGAAAGGUCGCCUUUGGUGCAUGAGAAACCUUCAAAUUUUAGUAGAGUCUUUCUAGUUUCUCCACUGGACACCUUUGGUGCGAUGCCAAAAGCCAAUCUGAGUUUGGAUCUCGUUUUUCUUCCUAUAUGUUCCUAUAAAUGUUAAAUAUGCUUCUUCAGAUUGCAUGCUCAAAGAAGAAGUAGAUAUCUGGGAUUUGGGUUGACACAGAGAUGGCCGAAAGAUUGAGUUUCGCAGCUCUUCGUCAGCACUAGAAUGGCUGUGGACCGUAUAACUCAAAGACCCAAAGGAUUCGGUUUUGUCACUUACAAGUCAGAUGUUGAGGCACAAAAAGCUUUGAAGGCCAUGAAUGGCAGGGUAAUUUCCUUCUUCCCUAUGGUUAAAAUUUUUAAUUUUAUUUUUAUAAAUGGGCAGGCCUCCUUGCUGUGAUAAAGAAGGGGUCAAGAAAGGACCUUGGACUCCCGAAGAAGAUAUCAUUUUGGUCUAUUACAUUCAAGAACAUGGUCCUGGAAAUUGGAGGGCUGUUCCUACCAAUACAGUGUAGAGCUAGAUGGAAAGACACGUACACCUAUAUGGAAUUGGAUGAGGUGCGAGAAGAAUUGGCAACUCAUGUCCUAUAAUGGCUUUUUAAUUGAACGAAACAUUCCUCCUUCAUUUUACAUGUCUUUCUAGCUAGUAUUUUGCGUAUAUAUAGACAAGUAUGGAUAAUUUGUGGUGUGGGGCUGGAAAAAUUGUGAUUUGGAUGUGACAAGUGGAUCAUUCAAGUAUUUUGCU